GACAGAGGUCCCAAGCGUUGUCCGGAUUUACUGGGCGUAAAGCGUGCGUAGGCGGUCGCAUAAGUCUGAUGUGAAAUCCUGAGGCCUAACCUCAGAACUGCAUCGGAUACUGUGCGACUCGGAGACUGGAGAGGAGACUGGAAUUGUCGGUGUAGCGGUGAAAUGCGUAGAUAUCGACAGGAACACCUGUGGCGAAAGCGGGUCUCUGGACAGUUCUCGACGCUGAUAGCACGAAAGCCAGGGGA
rnacentral:rRNA from 1 species